rnacentral:rRNA from 1 species
GAUGAACGCUGGCGGCGUGCCUAAUACAUGCAAGUCGAGCGAACAGACGAGGAGCUUGCUCCUCUGACGUUAGCGGCGGACGGGUGAGUAACACGUGGAUAACCUACCUAUAAGACUGGGAUAACUUCGGGAAACCGGAGCUAAUACCGGAUAAUAUAUUGAACCGCAUGGUUCAAUAGUGAAAGACGGUUUUGCUGUCACUUCUAGAUGGAUCCGCGCCGCAUUAGCUAGUUGGUAAGGUAACGGCUUACCAAGGCAACGAGGCGUAGCCGACCUGAGAGGGUGAUCGGCCACACUGGAACUGCAACACGGUCCAGCCUCCUACGGUAGGCAGCAGUAGGGAAUCUUCCGCAAUGGGCGAAAGCUUGACGGAGCAACGCCGCGUGAGUGAUGAAGGUCUUCGGAUCGUAAAACUCUGUUAUUAGGGAAGAACAAAUGUGUAAGUAACUAUGCACGUCUUGACGGUACCUAAUCAGAAAGCCACGGCUAACUACGUG